UCUGUUAUUAAGAUGUCUCACUGGGAGGUUUUUUUUUCUAGCUCAGUUGUUUCUGUUCUGUAGGUCACAGCAGAGAGUUGAGGUCCAGCGAGAGCAUCUCUUCUGAAAACAAUAUCGGCAGCAAGGACCCAUAUUUAGCAGACGAUCCCGAGCUCUGGGAUUUCACUCUGGAUGGGAUUGAUGAGCAGAAUAUUCCAGUGUGUGACUCGUCUCCCAAAGGGCCCAGCACUCCCAGUAAUCACCAGAUGCAGACUCGCAGUAAGACGCCUCAGAGAGCUCCAGGCAGACCUUCUGGAUCUUUUGCGGACCGCGUGCCACACAACCAGGCUGUGUACAGACCUCAGCACUACAACCAUCCCCAGGGAAGACCAGGUGAAACCUCUAGUCCAUACAGACACGGACAGGACAUGAAGAAACGCAGACUCGACACCUGAGGUUUUAAGUUAUUAAAUUUUAUCUUGUGUUUUUA